AAGUCAGUGGCCGAGUUAAUUGAGAAGGAGCUAUCAAUUUUUACAAAUUCUGAAGAGGUUAUGAGCUAUGGCAAUCUUCGUAGAGUUCAAAUGUUGUGGUUCGAUACAGAACAGAAAAAAUAAGUCUCUUUUCCUCUCAAGAUGAGAGUAAGUAUCAGCAAAAAAAUAAAAUCUCUUCGUGGCGAUGCAAUUUCUUAUCACUCAGUCGUGAUGCAUAUAAGAGUAAGGGGAAUAGGCUGAUUUUGUGUAUAUUCUAGAAUUUUUUUGGGAUAUAUUGAUUCGGAUUGAAUUGCAAAUACAGCAACGAUAGAAUCAAUGCAAUUCUGAAUUGCAAUAAACAAGCGUGGUCUCUCAAAUAGAAUCGAACUGCUAGAUGACGUCGAGUGAUGAAUUCAACGAUUCCAAAAAAACUAAGAGAUGGAUGAAAUUACGCAAGGAAUCCAGGUCUCAAAAAAAAA